rnacentral:rRNA from 1 species
AUGGCUAGGGUUCCUGGCGUCGGAUCUGGUGCCAGUGGCCAUGUCGUUGUCGUCCUCGUCUCAUCCACGUGCGGGGAGGAACGUCCAGUGGACAACCUUGCUGCGGCUCGGGAUGAAGCAGCCACGAGCUUCCUCCUCCUCCGGCUUCAGGUUUUGACCAUGGCCAACAUAUAUUCUUUUAGGCUAAUUACUAAAUCAAUCUUACGAUGGUUCAUGUGGCUGCGGAGUUGUAGCAACGGCAGUUUGAAGCAGAUUAGGCGCCCCGGGCGUCUUUGCCAGCGAGGCUGUCGAGUGAAGGAAAUGGCAGUGUGGGAGUGA